AGCGAACGCUGGCGGCAGGCCUAAAACAUGCAAGUCGAACGCCUGUAGCAAUACAGGAGUGGCAGACGGGUGAGUAACACGUGGGAACGUACCCUUUGGUUCGGAACAACACAGGGAAACUUGUGCUAAUACCGGAUAAGCCCUUACGGGGAAAGAUUUAUCGCCAGAGGAUCGGCCCGCGUCUGAUUAGCUUGUUGGUGAGGUAACGGCUCACCAAGGCUACGAUCAGUAGCUGGCUGAGAGGAUGAUCAGCCACACUGGGACUGAGACACGGCCCAGACUCCUACGGGAGGCAGCAGUUAGGAAUCUUGGACAAUGGGCGCAAGCCUGAUCCAGCCAUGCCGCGUGAGUGAUGAAGGCCUUAGGGUUGUAAAGCUCUUUCAG
rnacentral:rRNA from 1 species